rfam:TPA: Bos taurus chromosome 15, whole genome shotgun sequence.
UGGCUUAGACGGUAAAGCAUCUACCUACAAUGUGGAAGACCGGGGUUCGAUCCCUG